UACGAAGGGGGCUAGCGUUGCUCGGAAUCACUGGGCGUAAAGCGCACGUAGGCGGACUCUUAAGUCGGUGGUGAAAUCCUGGAGCUCAACUCCAGAACUGCCUCCGAUACUGGGAGCCUUCGAGUCCGGGAGAGGUGAGUGGAACUGCGAGUGUAGAGGUGAAAUUCGUAGAUAUUCGCAAGAACACCAGUGGCGAAGGCGGCUCACUGGCCCGGUACUGACGCUGAGGUGCGAAAGCGUGGGGAGCGAACAGG
rnacentral:rRNA from 1 species